GAAUGGUCAGACGAUGAAAGAGAAAGGUGAAGUUGAAGAGGCUGCUGCGAAGUGUAUUCGUAGAAGAGGUAGAAAGAAAGGAAGCAGAAAUGGCGGCAAAGUUGCUGGCUUAAAUCAGAAACAAAAUGCUUUUGUGGCUGAGAAAGGAGCAGAAGACGGUGAGGAAUUGCAAGACAGUGUUGGAAAAGAUGGUGAGAAGUGGGACAAUAUGGGGAGACAGAGAACUCUAGAUUUGAAAAAUGAAGUUUUUCUGAAGCAGGACGAAGAAGUUGUAACGCCUGGGAAUGAGGGAACUGAUAUGGUAAAUCAGGAGAAUGGUGGUUCUAUCGAAGUCAACGAAAAUUCUUACAGGAAGAAACUGAGAGCUAAUGAAAAGAUGGUGAGCUAUGCUGAGAAAGGUGAAGAAGAUGAAGAGGUUUCAGUCAGGAAGAAGCGUGGUAGAAAGAGCAGGAAGGUGGCUAAAGUCACAGGAAAAGAGGGUUCAGAAAUAGAGACAGUUAAUGAAAAUGGAGAUUUAGCUGAAGGAAACGGAAAGGAAGUGACAAAAAGAGGGCGAAAGAAGCAUAAGAAGGAGAGGAAUGAUGGUAAAAGGGAAUCUCUGACAAUCAACGGUGGCAUGGUUAAUUCGUUGCGGCAAGAUGCGAAGGAGCUUGAAAUUAACCAGCAAAGUGACGAGGUUCUAACUUGAUGUAUCUUGUGGAUCGUUAAUAUUGCCUAUUUGUUAUUCUUGGAGGUUUGUGUUUCUGAUUUUUGGGUUUGCAGUUUAUUGCGGAGCUUUGCUUAACUAACUGCCAUCAGUGCAAGAGGAAUGAUAAAGGUUCUGUUGUUUGUUGCCAGAAAUGCGAGACGAAGCGUUACUGCAUCCCCUGCUUGACUAACUGGUAUCCUAAGAUGACAAUGGAUGAAGUUGCUGCUGCUUGUCCAGUUUGUCGCGGAAAUUGCAAUUGUAAAGCUUGCUUGCGUGAUACACCAAAUGAAUUCCUGAAUAAACUCAAGAAAAUGGUCGGCACUGAUGAUAGAAAAGUACUGCAUUCAAAGUAUUUGGUCCAAGCACUUCUCCCAUACCUGAAACAGUUGAAUGAAGAACAAAUGAUGGAGAGAAAGAUUGAAGCUAGGAAACAAGGUGUAUCACUUGCAGAGUUACAGAUACAAAAUGCUAAUUGUCCUACGGAUGAACGCAUUUAUUGCGACAACUGUAGAACCUCCAUAUUUGAUUAUCACAGAAGUUGUUCAAACUGCUUUUCUGAUCUUUGCCUUAUCUGUUGUCGGGAGAUUCGUGACGGACACCUAAAGGGUGGAGGCCAAGAGGUGGUUGUGGAGUAUAUUAACAGAGGGUUUGAUUAUUUACAUGGCGGAAAGAGUGAAGUUAUUUUACAAGAUGAGGUGUUACUUGGAGCUAGCUCUAAGGAUCCUCCAAGGUCAAACUUUGGAUGGAAAAAAAAUGAAGAUGGAAGCAUUGUUUGUCGUUGCGGUUUUAGCAACCUGGAAUUGAAAUGUUUGUUCUCAGGAAAUUGGUCUCUAGAGUUAAUGAAGAGAGCAGAAGAUGUUGCACGAAGAUAUGAACUUGACAUGGCUACAAUUCCUGUUGAGCGAUGUGCAUGUUUUAAUUCCUUAGGGGAUGUUGACAUGGGAAGUAAUGAGUUGCUAAAAGCAGCAUCUCGAGAGAAUUCUGAUGACAAUUAUUUAUACUAUCCAAGGGCCAUCAAUAUCAAAGAGGAGGAUUUGAAGCAUUUUCAAUACCAUUGGAUGAGAGCUGAACCUGUGGUAGUUAGUAAUGUUCUUGAAACUGGAACUGGCUUAAGUUGGGAGCCAACGGUCAUGUGGCGUGCCUUCCGCCAGAUAAGAAAUGAAAAACGUGACACACUUUUGGAUGUGAAGGCCAUUGAAUGUUUAGCAUGGUGUGAGGUAGAUAUUAAUGUUCACCAAUUCUUUACUGGAUACUUGGACGGUCGGUUUGACACAAAGAUGUGGCCUCAGAUACUGAAAUUGAAAGACUGGCCUCCAUCUACUAUGUUUGAUGAACUUAUGCCACGACAUGGUGCUGAAUUUACAUUUUGUUUGCCCUUUAAGGAGUACACACAUCCUCAUAAAGGACCUUUGAACCUUGCUGUCCGAUUACCUAAGAAGUCUUUAAAGCCAGAUAUGGGGCCAAAGACAUAUAUUGCUUAUGGUUGUGCUCAAGAGCUUGGACGUGGAGAUUCUGUUACCAAGCUUCAUUGUGACAUGUCUGAUGCAGUGAAUGUUUUAACACAUACAGCUGAAGUGACCCUUGGUCGUACACAACUUGCUACUAUAGAACAAUUGAAAAAAUUACACAGAGAGCAAGACCAAAGAGAAAUUUUUGGAAACAAUCAGGUUGUAGAGGAGGAUAUUGAUGGCAAAAUGCACGGUAGUUUUUGUGGCAGCUUACCGACUACUGAUAAGGAAACUGGGGAAGUUGACAACCAAACUGAGGAUUCUCAGUUUACUGAUUGUGCCUUUUCAAGUAAAUCAGAGUUGAAAAUUAGCAAGCAGGCAGAAGUAUUUCAAGAUAAAUUAGAGCUGAAAUGUUGCGAGGCAGAUGCUGUUCAAGGUAGAGGCACUGAGAAUAGUGGGCCAUCAAGUUCUGGAAAUGUGUCAUUGCGGUCAGAUGAGGGAGGUGCUGUUUGGGACAUUUUCCGAAGAGAAGAUGUUCCUAAGUUGCAGGAAUAUCUUAGCAAACACUUCAAAGAAUUUAGGCACAUUCACUGUUGCCCAUUGCAGAAGGUAUUUUGAUGGAAUAAUAAAUAUGGCUAUGUAUGGUUCUUUUCCAUUGAAUUAUGUCUUAUAAUUUUUAAUUUGUGCUUCUUCCAAUCAAGGUUUUUGCGUCAAUGCUGUCAAAAUAAUUGCACUAAAGAAAGAUAAAUUAAUCACUGUAAUUGAUUAUUAAAAAAUUGUGAACUACAACUUUUAAAGAAGUCCUAGUGUUUCAUCCUUAAUUAAAUAAUUAUUGUGCAAUAAUGCUUUGGGAAGCUAUUUUACAGUAAUGCUAUUGAAAUGGUGUGGUAAAUAUUUUCAAAUGGGUGGCUGUCUAUGGGCAAGUGGAAGUUAUGAAUUGGAUGACAAAGUUGGGAAUUAUGAUGACUUACAGUGCAAAUUAGGGACUUGUUGAAGUUAAAUGAACUAAGCCAAUUAAUUGCUGCAUGUGUUGUGGUGGCCAUUGCUUUUUUGAUCUUUUUCUUUGCAAGCUACUGUUUCUUCUUCUGUAGGUUGUUCAUCCUAUACAUGAUCAGACCUUUUAUUUGACUCUAGAGCAUAAGAGGAAGCUGAAAGAGGAAUAUGCUAUUGAGCCAUGGACAUUUGUCCAGAAGCUUGGAGAUGCGGUCUUUAUUCCUGCAGGUUGUCCUCAUCAAGUGCGAAACUUGAAGGUAAAAUAAAAUUUAUAUUUAGCAUUUGUUUGGGCAUCAAAAAAUUUAAAUUAUGAUAAUCUUGACAAGAUUCCAGGGAACUUCUCAAAUUUUUAUCAUUUAGCUUUUAAGAAUUUUGUUGUUCAAUGAGGUACAAUGAGGUUUGCUUCCUUCAUGUGUUUGUUAUAAGGUGCUAAGUGUCAUGCAUGUACCAGAAAGACAUUGCUUUUAGGAAUCAAAUGAUUUCAAGUUGAAAAUUGACGAGUGUGGCAUGUUGCAUUCAUUUUGUUCGUGUUGACUCAUCUUUGGACAUCAUCAUUGAAUGUUUUUGCACAUUUUCAAGCAUCAUAAGGGGUUUCUUAAAUAAUUUCUGAAGCAUUUGCUAAUUUCAUGCUCAAGUAAAUCCAUAUAUUUGUUUAUUUUGUCAAUUGGCUUGCCCCAGGUGGCGUGCAUGUGUAUGCAUGAUAAAGUGUCUCUUAACAAUUGUUUCCAUAUGUUAUAGUCAUGUAUAAAGGUAGCAUUGGACUUUGUUUCACCGGAAAACGUUGGUGAGUGUAUCCGUUUGACAGAGGAAUUCCGUUUACUUCCCCCAAAUCAUUGGGCUAAAGAAGACAAGUUGGAGGUAUAACUUGCUUCUAGAUUAUAAUUCUUAUCUAAUAUGCAUUUUAUGUUGUGUUAUCACACAGUGGUGGUAGAAUUGUUGAAACAGUGCUGAUAUGAUUCUUUGUGCUGUGUAUUUUUUCUUGGUCUAGUACUGAUUUUUUUCUUUAUCCGGCUUCAUAAUGGAAAAGAAAAGUUCUUGUACUUCAUGAUUUGGUAGCUAGCUGCUAUUUUAAUUCCAUAGUUUGUGUGGUACGUCCCUGAUAUGCAUAUUGUAGGGUUAUUUUGUUAUCAGCAGAGGUCAGCUGUUGCUAAAUUCUAACAUAUUUUGUGGUUUGAGAAAUUAAGUUUUAAUUGGAACUUUAAUUGGACUCAAUAAGAUUUGGGCUGAAACUGGACUGUGCAGGCUGAACAGAUGUCAUGAACAGUACCAAGGGCCUGUUUUUCAAGUCACACAAAGGACUUUGAGUUUCACAUAGCAGAGAAAUUCUUGGUGCACCACUAACAUAAUCUAUGGACAUGUAUUGAAAUUCAACUUUAUGUCUUUUGCUUUCUAGAAAGUCUUUUCUAUUGAGGCGGAGCUAGAAAUUUGAUUCAGUGGAGUAAAAAAUUUUUGUUUUGCUUAAUUCAAAGAAAAAAAUUAUAUACAAUAAUAAAUUAUUCAUUAAGAGAAAAAUUCGAAAUUUUCACUAUGUAAUAAUAAUU
rnacentral:misc_RNA from 1 species